rnacentral:rRNA from 1 species
GUGGGGAAUCUUGCGCAAUGGGCGAAAGCCUGACGCAGCCAUGCCGCGUGAAUGAUGAAGGUCUUAGGAUUGUAAAAUUCUUUCACCGGGGACGAUAAUGACGGUACCCGGAGAAGAAGCUCCGGCUAACUUCGUGCCAGCAGCCGCGGUAAUACGAAGGGGGCUAGCGUUGCUCGGAAUUACUGGGCGUAAAGGGCGCGUAGGCGGACAGCUUAGUCAGAGGUGAAAGCCCAGGGCUCAACCUUGGAAUUGCCUUUGAUACUGGCUGUCUUGAGUUUGGGAGAGGUGAGUGGAACUCCGAGUGUAGAGGUGAAAUUCGUAGAUAUUCGGAAGAACACCAGUGGCGAAGGCGACUCACUGGCCCAAUACUGACGCUGAGGCGCGAAAGCGUGGGGAGCAAACAGGAUUAGAUACCCUAGUAGUGC